rnacentral:lncRNA from 1 species
GUUAGAGGCUUAGGAGGAAUCUUGUGGGAAAGCUGUGGGGAAAAGGCGGAGUCGCCGUUUUUUAUGGUUUACCCAAGCUUGCUUUCUUUUUUCUUUUUUUAAAGAAAAGUAGUCCUCCCGGAACAGACAGAGUAACAAACAGACCCCCUCCCCGAAUUUCUCCUCUUAAGUCCCUUACUCUUCAUAUCUUCGGACCUUUUCAGAGUCAUGGUAUUAAAAUCUUCUCCAGAUCUUCCAGAAACACUGUCACCUAAUGGAAAAACAAAGCUUGGAUGACCCACCUUUAAUCGCAGCGCCCUCCGCAAUGGAAGAGUCGUCAUUAUCUUCUUUCUAGGAGGAGGUGGCUAAUACGUGACUCUCCAGGUGUUGAUGAACUUCUGCUCCUAUCCUCCUGGUGAACAUAUUCAAUCGCAGGGAACACAGGUAUUGUGAAUUGUGGUUCAAUAUCUGGAAGGCCAAAAUCAUUUCUUUCCUCCUCUGUUCUAAGAUGACAAGAAACAAAUGAAAACUGGGACUUUGUCGCUUUAUUUACAAGAAAUGACAGCUCCUGCCAUUCUGAGCUCAUAGUCACUACAGUUACAGUUGUCUCGGCAAUUGCAACUUGGGAGUUGUUCACUGUAAUGUGUGACCCCCAUAUUGCCUUUUGUUUUACACUCCCCACUCUGAAAUGCACAGUAGUUUUUUGGUUGGAAGGCAGGCUGAGUGAGCAAAAAGGGGAUUCUUUGUGUCAAACAUCUUGAGCCUAAGUCCAACAUUAACAGAAGAACAGAGGUGGNAAAGUUCACCCUUAUCCAUUGCUGUUCCUGUUGUGCUCAGUUAACNUGCCAGUGGCCAUGGCUGGUAGAAUCUACAUUGAUCUACAUAGCCAUCAAGACCACGGAGCACAUUUAAUCGAGUGCUUACUCCAGGAAUCUAGCCAAUGAAGCUUGCAUUGAUGAGAUAAAAAUAUCCAGGGCAGAAAGUCAAGCCACUUUGGGGUAAGUGACUGCACUAACCUGUUCCCUGAAGGAGCCCUGUAUUAAACCACAUUCAGAAUCCCUCUCCAUUAGGCAGCUAUAUCCUCUUUCUGCAUGAGUCCAUAAUUCAGAUUAAGGGCCUGCAUAGUAAGUAUCUGAACCUUUAGAUCUGCACAUUAAUGCAGAUCUAUGAGCCCCCACCCCACACUAGUACAGCUGUAUCUGCUUUAGACAGUGUGUGAUGCCAAACAGGGAGGCCUUGUUUGGUAUCACUGGUAGACCCAUUUAAUUGGGUCAACCAGUGGGACCAG